rnacentral:rRNA from 1 species
CAACAGGGAUUGCCCUAGUAACGGCGAGUGAAGCGGCAACAGCUCAAAUUUGAAAUCUGGCCCUCGGGUCCGAGUUGUAAUUUGUAGAGGAUGCUUUUGGCAAGGUGCCUUCCGAGUUCCCUGGAACGGGACGCCAUAGAGGGUGAGAGCCCCGUCUGGUCGGACACCGCGCCUCUGUAAAGCUCCUUCGACGAGUCGAGUAGUUUGGGAAUGCUGCUCUAAAUGGGAGGUAUAUGUCUUCUAAAGCUAAAUAUUGGCCAGAGACCGAUAGCGCACAAGUAGAGUGAUCGAAAGAUGAAAAGCACUUUGAAAAGAGAGUUAAAAAGUACGUGAAAUUGUUGAAAGGGAAGCGAUUAUGACCAGACUUGGGCCUGUUUGAUCAACUUGGGUUCUCCCGGGUGCACUCUCUCAGGCCUAGGCCAGCAUCAGUUCGUCGCGGGGGACAAAGGUUGCGGGAAUGUGGCUCCCCUCGGGGAGUGUUAUAGCCCGUUUCGUAAUACCCUGCGUCGGACUGAGGUUCGCGCAUUUUGCAAGGAUGCUGGCGUAAUGGUCAUCAUCGA